AUACGGAGGGUGCGAGCGUUAAUCGGAAUUACUGGGCGUAAAGGGUGCGUAGGCGGCUUGAUAAGUCGGAUGUGAAAGCCCCGGGCUUAACCUGGGAAUUGCAUUCGAUACUGUCAGGCUAGAGUAUGUCAGAGGUUGGCGGAAUUCCUGGUGUAGCGGUGAAAUGCGUAGAUAUCAGGAGGAACACCAGUGGCGAAGGCGGCUAACUGGGACAAUACUGACGCUGAGGCACGAAAGCGUGGGGAGCAAACAGGAGUAGAAACCCUAGUAGUCC
rnacentral:rRNA from 1 species